ensembl:lncRNA
AUUAUUUAAAUUAUUAUUAUUAUUAUUUUUCUACAGUUGAAGUCAAAAUUUACAUACACCUUGAAGUAUCUGCAAAAUGUUAAUUAUUUUGCCAAAAUAAGAGGAUCAUGCAAAAUCCAUGUUAUUGUUUAUUUAGUACUGACCUGAACAAGAUAUUUCACAUAAAAGAUGUUUACAUAGUCUACAAGAGAAAAUAAUAGUGAAAUUUGUAAAAAUGACCCUAUUCAAUAGUCUACAUACACUUGAUUCUUAAUACUGUGUUGUUACCUGAAUUAUCCACAGCUGUUUUAGUGUAUUUGAACCCUUUUCAACAAUAACUAUGAUUUUGAGAUCCAUAUUUUCACACUGAGUACAACUGAGGGACUCAUAUGCAACUAUGAAAGAAGGUUCAAAUGCUCUCUGAUGCUCCAGAAGAGAAAAAAAAUCAUACAGUCAUUGUUGGAAAGGGUUCAAAUACACAGAAUUGCUGGAAAACCAAAUUAACUGUUUAGGACAAACAAGGGACCCAUGAACAACUAUCACUAAAAAAAAAAAAAAAACUCUUAUUCAGGUAACAACACUCUAUUAAUAAUCAAGUGUAUGCAAACUUUUGAACGGGGCCAUUUUUAUAAAUUCAACUAUUAUUUUCUCUUGUGGACUAUAUGUAAACAUCUUUUAUGUAAAAUAUCUUGUUCAGGUCAGUACUAAAUACACAGUAACAUGCAUUUUGUACAAUCCCUCAUAUUUUGUUAAAAUAAUUAAAAUUUUGCAGAUUCUGCAAGGUGUAUGUAAACUUUUGAAUUAAACUGUAUUUAUUUAUUUAUUUUUCAUCUAUGCUACAGAAUUUUCAUUCACUAUUUCCCUUAUGCUGUCUGUUCAUCCUUAUUGGUGAUGUGGAUAACAGGUUUUGUCUUUGUGUGUGUGUUUCAUGGCUGUGUUUCAGUUUCCACACUGAUGAAAAGAAAUGUACUGGCAGACAGCGAGUGAGCAGAAGAUCAGGAUGGUGGUGCAGAGUGAUGGACAUCAACCCCGCAUGUCAACAGCUUCAUUCAGUCCAUAUGAUGUUUGAAUCAAGGACUUCACAGAGAGGCAACACCUUAGAAGAUGCAACCAGCAAAUGCUUUGAGCAAGGAGAACUGCUUAACAGAUGAAAGGCUACUCAAACAUUGUAUUCUGAAUUUGAGACUGACCUGAGGAAUAAAUGCUUUAUCAGAUGCA